UCCCUGGUGGCUCAGACGGUAAAGCAUCUGCCUAUAAUGCGGGAGGCCCGGGUUCAAUCCCUGGGUCGGGAA
rnacentral:tRNA from 1 species